CGGAACACGAGAAAUUCCGUCGGAAUCCGCGGGGACCAUCCCGCAAGGCUAAAUACUCCCUAGUGACCGAUAGUGAACCAGUACCGUGAGGGAAAGGUGAAAAGCACCCCGGAAGGGGAGUGAAAUAGAUCCUGAAACCGUGUGCCUACAACAAGUCAAAGCUCGUUAAUGAGUGAUGGCGUGCCUUUUGUAGAAUGAACCGGCGAGUUACGAUUGCAUGCGAGGUUAAGUCGAAGAGACGGAGCCGCAGCGAAAGCGAGUCUGAAUAGGGCGAAUGAGUAUGUAGUCGUAGACCCGAAACCAUGUGAUCUACCCAUGUCCAGGUUGAAGGUGCGGUAAAACGCACUGGAGGACCGAACCCACGUACGUUGAAAAGUGCGGGGAUGAGGUGUGGGUAGCGGAGAAAUUCCAAACGAACUUGGAGAUAGCUGGUUCUCUCCGAAAUAGCUUUAGGGCUAGCCUCGGAAUUGAGAAUGAUGGAGGUAGAGCACUGUUUGGACUAGGGG
rnacentral:rRNA from 1 species